UAUAUAAAACAUACAUAUUGUCUGGAUAUGACUUGUUUUUCUGAAAAUACUAACAGUGUUUUUAUUACAGUAGGUGAUUCACCCGGUCAAGCAGCGUGCACUGCGUCCAUGAUGUGCAAAGGGUUGAUCCGUGGAGAGUAACAGCAGACGCCUGUUAGCAUACCGAGGAUAAAAGACAUGAGGCCUCUGGAUUGAGUCACAAUCAUUUUUUUAAAGUUCUUAUCUCUGUUGACUUUGAGUGUUUUCUAGUGUUAGCAUAAUGUGGCUGCCCUAAUUCAUGUCAUUUUAAAAUCCUAUUAAAAA